rnacentral:rRNA from 1 species
UACGUAGGGAGCAAGCGUUGUCCGGAAUCAUUGGGCGUAAAGCGCGCGUAGGUGGCUUCAUAAGUCCGUUGUGAAAGUCAAAGGCUACAACCUUUGAAAGCCGAUGGAUACUGUGGAGCUAGAGUACGGAAGAGGCGAGUGGAAUUCCUGGUGUAGCGGUGGAAUGCGCAGAUAAUCAGGAGGAACACCAAUAGCGAAGGCAGCUCGCUGGGACGUUACUGACACUGAGGCGCGAAAGCGUGGGGAGCGAACAGGA